rnacentral:rRNA from 1 species
AUUGAACGCUGGCGGAAUGCUUUACACAUGCAAGUCGAACGGUAGAGGGGGCAACCCCUCGAGAGUGGCGAACGGGUGAGUAAUAUAUCGGAACGUGCCCAGUCGUGGGGGAUAACGUAGCGAAAGUUACGCUAAUACCGCAUCCGAUCUACGGAUGAAAGCGGGGGAUCGCAAGACCUCGCGCGAUUGGAGCUGCCUAUAUCCGAUUAGGUAGGUGGUGGGGUAAAGGCUCACCAAGCCAACGAUCUGUAGCUGGUCUGAGAGGACGACCAGCCACACUGGAACUGAGACACGGUCCAGACUCCUACGGGAGGCAGCAGUGGGGAAUUUUGGACAAUGGACGCAAGUCUGAUCCAGCCAUUCCGCGUGCAGGAUGAAGGCCCUCGGGUUGUAAACUGCUUUUGUACGGAACGAAAAGGUUUCCAUUAAUACUGGGAGCUCAUGACGGUACCGUAAGAAUAAGCACCGGCUAACUACGUGCCAGCCGCCGCGGUAA